AAGGGCACCGCCUGGGGAGUACGGUCGCAAGGCUGUAACUCGAAGGAAUUGACGGGGGCUCACACAAGCGGUGGAGCAUGUGGCUUAAUUCGAGGCAACGCGAAGAACCUUACCUGGGUUUGACAUGCUUGGAUUAGCCUGUCGAAAGACAGGUGACGCUAAUUCUAGUGGAACUUGCACAGGUGCUGCAUGGCUGUCGUCAGCUCGUGCUGUGAAGUGUCGGGUUAAGUCCCUUAACGAGCGAAACCCCUGCCGCUAGUUGCCAUCAGGUCAAGCUGAGCACUCUAGCGGGACUGCCGGUGUCAAACCGGAGGAAGGUGGGGAUGACGUCAAGUCCUCAUGGCCUUUAUGCCCAGGGAUGCACACGUGCUACAAUGGUAGGUACAACGCGACGCGAUGCCGCGAGGCGGAGCAAAUCGCAAAAAACCUGCCCCAGUUCGGAUCGCAGUCUGCAACUCGACUGCGUGAAGUUGGAAUCGCUAGUAAUCGCGUAUCAGCUAUGACGCGGUGAUACGUUCCUGAGCCUUGUACACACCGCCCGUCAAGUCAUGGAAGCCGGGAGCACCCGAAGUCGCACCGCCUCA
rnacentral:rRNA from 1 species